GAGGACACCAAUGUGCUGAGAAGUAAAGGAGAAUAGUCUUCCCUACGAGGUCAGACACGAGGAUCUUUUCACCAUCUUUUCCAAUGACGAAAUCACGAUCUCUAGUAACCAAAAUCGACUCCAACGUUUGUGCUUCCAGUUUAGCUUUCUGUAUCUGCUCAAGUUCAGCAAACUUCUCGUGGCUAAAAGGAUAUGCCAGGAUACCAUGCUCCUCGACGGCUUCAGCAACAUUAGAAUGAAGAGUCUUCCCAUCUGUUCCAAUGAUGACUAGG
rnacentral:misc_RNA from 1 species